rnacentral:lncRNA from 1 species
CUGGCACAACCGGAGCUUUCCAGGCCACGGGUUCCUCCGGUCCCGCACGGUUCUUGGCGGCGGGAGAAUCUUCCUCCCGGGUUCUUGGGAAGCAAGAAGGAUCUCCGCCCCAGUUCGGGCCGGGCUGCGUCUCUUUCUCCGCGUAGUCCAAGGUGCGGGGAGUGGGCGGUCGGCGUAGAGUCGGCGACCGGAGCGCGCGGGAGAGGUUGCGGCGGCGUGCUCCUAUUGGGUCCUCUGCACCGGGUGCGUCCCCCUGUCUCUGCCGCCACCGCCCGGUCCUGUCUCUUCCCGGCUGUGCUACCGAAUCGGGCUCACGCGCCGGGAAGGCUCCCAGCGAAGUGCGAGCGGAGCCUCCGGCAAGGCUGGAAAUAGCGCCGCGCCCGCCCGGCGCCCCGCCCCCAGUCCGGGCCCCGCCCCACGGUGGAAAGCGGAGAUCCCGGUGGCAGGGCAGAGAUGGGGGAAAUCUCUUCCCCGAUCGCUCAGCCCUCUCGGGAGCUCACGGGCGCCACGCCCACGCGCGCUCUGCGGCUCCCGCUGCCGGACUGGCCGCGCGCUCCGUAGGAGCUGCCGCUGGGCGCGGUCGGGCGGCAGCGGGGGGUGGGGCGGUAUUGGCGCGGGCUGCGCCCAGCCCGGGGAUCCCCGAGUGCUGGACUCUUACCUGCCACUUGGCUCCACUCCGCAGCUUCUUAGCUGCCACUGCCCCAGUGGUGACACUGAGUAACCCUGCGCUGACCUGAGGAAAAAAGAAAAGGCCAGUAGGCAGGGUCUUGUGCUCUAGACCCAGAGCUGAGCGGCCUCGGAGCUUGCAAAGAGGUUGGUGCGCAGAAAGAUUCAGCAGCGACAGUGGCAGCAGUGUCUGAAUUCCCAACGUGAUGCCUUUGGACCGCUUGAGAUGCAGAGUUUCUACAAGAACAUAAGGUCUGGAGGCCACAGAGCACACUUGCAUGCUCGAUGCUGUAGUCCCAGAUGAACCUAGCAGUUCAAAAAGUGUUAGCUGAGUGAAUAUUCAGCAGAGACCAGACUCGGGGUUCUUCCCUGUGUUUUGUGAAAUGUGCAGUGCCCAUUUGACCCCACGAUGAAGGUCUGGCUCCCUUUUGUCACUGAGCCAACAGCAUUUGCAUAGCUAAGGUCAUUUCCUUGAUCCACCACCCCUUCCAUCAGCUGGACCAGGUGAUAGAAGAACCCCAGAAACUUCUCUGUUCUUCACCACCCGUCUAUAAAGGUACAUGGCAUGCUGGGAUGUGUCUGUCUUUGUGGCAGGUCAAGGAACCCAGUGAUGCCUGUGAGCGUUGGUGCCCAGGACUCCUCCAAAAGACAUCAGGGAGAGAUGGUACAUGCUGGCUGGUGUGGGGGUGUGUGUGGGUGUCUUCGAUUUCUACCUCCCAUCCAAGCUCCCAGUUCUAGGUCCUUAGACCCUGUCCUGGUUUGCUCUGUUGCUGUGAUAAAACACUCGGACCAAAAGCAACUAGGGUUUGCUUUAUCUGUUUCUUCCAGGUCAAGAUCAGUCUCCAGGGACGUCAGGGCAGGAACUGAAGGCAGGAACCUGGAGGGCGAUGCCUACUGGCUCACUCUCUGGCUUGCUCACUGGCUUAUGCUCAGCUGGCUUUCUUAGUCAGCCCAGGACUACCCACCUAGGGAUGGUGCCGCCCUUAGUGGACUGCCCCACCCCCGCACCAAUUACUAAUCAAGAUGAUCUAGGUGAUUCCUUAAUUGGGACUUCCCUCAGAUGCCUCUAGGCUGGGUCAGUUUGACAAAAACUGACCAGGACAGAGCCCAUCACCAUGGGGUUUCCAAGAGUACCUUCAGACAAACACACAGGGCUACCUUCAUUCCAGGUGAUCCAAAUUCAGGGCAUGUUGGAAAGGCGGCAGCAGCCACAGGCUGAAUUAGAUGAGAUCCAGUUGCUGGGACUUUGCUGAAUCCUGAUGCUCCUUCCUCCCUGGUCUGUGACCAACUAUUCAGUAGGUGGGACACCUGAGUACCAAAGGUCACUCAAGCCAGUCGGAUAGAAUAACAGGUUCCUGUCUCUGUUUCCCAUUUAACCAGCAUUGGCUGAGUCCUGUAGGGCUGGGGUGGUCCUAAUCUUGACCUGAACCUCCUCAGCUCAGCUUCUCAAGAAAGGAAUGUUGUUGGGUCAGGAAGCAGUUUCUCUCAUCUGGCAUUUGCUUGGCAGUGUUCUUCCGAGUCCACAGAUGCUGCCCACCCCUGUAAAUACACAUCUCUUUCCCCAGUCCCAAAAGACAAACUCCACAAGUCCUAAGGACUGUAACUCUGUACCUCACUUCUUCCAG